UCUUUCUUUCUUUCCAGUCCUGCCUCUUUUUCAUUUUUUCUCGACUGAAAUCUGAAGAGUGAAGAACAACAAUCCAUCGUUAACCACUUACCAUCAGUGUAGCGAAAUCAUAUAUUUCUUCUUCAAUCAACAACAACAAGUCAAGUGAAACCCUAAGACAAAGGAUUUGAUGAAUCUGUAAAUGGUGAAGCUCAAAGCACAAGACAUCUUACUGCUGGAUUGAUGGAUUAUUUUUAGCUACCGAUUUACUUAUGCGCUAAAGCUUUGAUGAUCAUACUUGAUUUACUUAUCUUUUAUGCAAUUCAUGGUUACUGAUUCCUGCUAUGUUCCUUGUUGGUAAUUUUGUAUGAAAUCUUUUUCUUGCCCCUUAGAAAUCCCUGAAAAACUUUGGUGAAAUCAUAUAACUUAGGUUCUAGGAAUCGAUCUAUAGAGAAUCCAUGACAUGAAUAGUGAUUGUGCUUUUGACUUUUGUAGAAACCAUAAAUUCAGAUUUGUUAGUUUCAUUUGAGAAUACUUGGUGGCUUUAGUAGUAAAGCUGUAUUUUCUUUGGUAAAAAAAAGAAGAACUUAAUCUUUUCUGGGUUCAGAAUCAGGGCCAGAUUUAUAUGCUGAACUUUUGAUACAUUUGCAGGUAACACAGCUUUCACCUUCCAUAUUAAUGUCUGAAGGCAUGCCGGUCUACCGUUUUAUUCAGAAUCCCGGGGAGUUUUUAUCUCACCUUCCCUCGGGCAUAUCAUUCUGGCUUCAAUUGCGGCUUCAACUGUGCUGAGGCUGUAAAUGUAGCUCCUGUUGAUUUGUUGCGUCAUAGGAAAAAUGCUGUAGAGCUUUACCGUGAGCAGGGAUGUAAGACAUCAAUUUCUCAUGAUAAGUUGUUACUAGGUGCAGAAAGGGAAGCUGUUAGGGAAAAUUGGGAAAUGUCAUUACUCAGGAAGAACACCAUAGAUAACAUAAGAUGGAAAGAUGUUUGUGGAAAGGAUAACUGCUUGCUACUUGUUAUCUGCCUUGCAUGUUUGUGAAUAGGAGUUCCAGUGUAAAUCUCAUAAGAUCAAUUUUGUAUAUAUCUUAUUUGAUAUAUGUCUUACAAUGGUGGGCACUGCUUAAAAAGUCCACUGGUAUUAAGGUUAUCUGGGUCUUCAAGUGUUUAGAAAAUAUGGGGGAAAAGGAGAUGGAUGCACUAUCGCAGGUUAGUAUGAACUGUUUAGUUCAGUUUCAAUUUUAACCACUCAACAAGCAUAUGGUAUUCAGCAAUAACCACGGGGUAAGAUACAUGAACUGAUCUUUUUUUUUCCUAUUGUAAGUCUUAUUCUGGUUCAGGGGCUCAUGUAAUUGAUAUGUUUUCUAUUGACAGGUUAGUCGUUCAUUGGAUCUCAUUGUUCACUUUUAUAUAUAGUUACAAAGAAGCAUUUCUCUGGGAGCUUUUCAGAUAUUUGUGCUUAUUUUCUCUGGUGAAGUCCAUAGAUCGAGUUUCUUUUGUAACGGAAGCGUUAAGAUUAGGAGAGGUUCAAUUGGAAGAUCUGCCUUCAGAUUAGGAUUUGGAUUUAGUUGCCAGUAUGACUGAUGGGGGUUCAAGAAGUGAUCUCAAGAAACUGUGUGUUCCUCCACACUGUCCAAUAACAGAGAUUCUGGAAAAGGAGGAGAAGGCUGUAGCAUUGGCUGCUGGUAAAUCCCCUUCCACGCUGAGUGUGAGUAUGGAAAAAUGCUUGUGAGCAGACAGGUGCAAGUGUAUCAUCAGAAUCUUUUCAAACAUGUUUGGGCGGGUGCAGUGGAACGAACUUAGUGGUGAAGGUGGUUGCAGAAGGACAAAGCCUCUAAGCUACACUGCAGGAAGCGUGCAAAGAGCUUCAUUUGUUGAUUCGAAGAUAUCUCAUUUCCGUACUUCAGCAUUUGUGUUUGGAUGUUAGCAAACAAAUAUGUUCAAGUUAUUUGUUGCCUUAUUGGCUAUCCAGAAGAGGUGGAUGGAUUUUGUAGUUGAAUUUGUUGUAUUAUGUUUGGAAUAAAAUCCAUAUUUGUUUUUGCAUUA